GAAAGGUGUCUAUUUCAUUGCUUUUGCUACCACAGCCCCUCUUCCUUCUUCCUUUUCAAAACACUCCUACAUAACUUUCAGAACCCAGUUCAGUGGCUGCCUCCUUCCUCUCUCUGUUAUUCAUGCCCAUCUUUCCCAGGAAAAUUCAUGGUUCCCUUGCUUGUAUUCAAGCCUUGGUUGGACAGUCUAUCUCCUCUGCCUUCACCCCAAGCCACUCCACUCAAAUCAAAGCCAGUCAUCUUUCUCUUUGAGUUUCUGCCUCCCAGCAGAGCAUCUGAUACACUGUAGUUGCCCAAUAAGUGAGAAGAAUUUUAGGAUUUCCAUGAACAAAUAAGGAGAGACAGAAAUCCCAAGCUGAGAGUAACACAAGUAAAAAAAAAAAAAAAAAGUGGCAAAAUGAGAGUGUAGAAUGGUCUGGAAGGGAUGGGAUGGAAGGUACACAGAUGCAUGUGACAGGAGAGAUGGCAAAUGAUGCCAACCUGGGGCUGGAUCAUGCAGAACUGAGAUGCUCUGCCCGCAAGCUAGGGCUUUAUUCGUGUAGAACAUGGUGCAACAUGGAGGGAUUUCAGAAUCGAGGGACGAGAUUUGAAUUGAGCAACACUCUCUAUUUUAUUUUAUUUUCUCAUCUUUGAAGAAGCUGGAGGACAAGAGGAAAUAUGAAAAUGAAUAUUUAUCAUGUACCUAUUAUAUUUCAGGCACUGACCUAAAACCUUUACAUAAAUCUAAUUCAUUCUCAUGAUAACUGAAUACACCAGCUAUUUCCCCUAGUUUUGAGAAGAUAAAGCUCAGACAGGUUAAGUCAUUGGUCCAAGAUCAUGCUGAAAAAAUGACAGAUCUAGUAUCUGAACCCAGGUUUGCUGGCUCCAAAGCUCAUUUUUUCCCACUAUAUCAUCCUGCCUCCUUGAAAAACCCUCCUAGCCACCCCCGCCCCCUCCUCAUUUACUCUUGUCUGCUUCCUUUCUUUCCUGAACCACUUCUCUUUGCCUUUUCCCUGCUGUUUCCCUGGACCUAAAUGGCAAAAGACUGGAGAGAGGGUGACUUGAGCCUUAGCAUUAGCGACCACAGGAAUGGUUUAAUUUUCCUCCCUCCUUGGAGGACAGAGAUAUUGAGUCUGGAACAGACCAGUGGGAGACUGGCUAGGAGCACAGUCCUUGGAAAUGCUGCAGAUGUCCCGGCUGCUGGAAAUCUUUCUGAUCUUUCAAAGGAGACUCUCCCUCCACCUGGGCUUAUUCGAUUAAAGGAUAAAAGCAAAUUGAUCAAAUAUGUGGACAUUUGAAGUUUAUUUUUAUCACUGCUGAGCAAAUUUUGAAAGGCAACGGAUCUUAUUUGAUUUUCCUCUCUAGUUCCCUAUGAAAGAGGAAGUACUGGAAAAGAAGGCCUUUUGGUCCAGCCAUGGGGGUGAAUGAUGGGCCAACUCCCAUGGUCAGUUCUCCUGACACGGCUUCAUGCACUCCAGAUCAUAGCAGCGUCAGGAAAACCUUCUUCUAACGGCGCACCCAGCAACCUCAUGACAAACUGACUUUGGAGCUUUCACAGAAUUCAUAAAAAAUAAAACCUCUUAGGUUUUAUAAACA